rnacentral:rRNA from 1 species
GGUAUUGAAAUAAGAUUUUAAAUGAGUGCUAAGAGAAUGAUUAAACAAUUAAAAACUUUCUUUAAUUAAAUAAUUAAAUUUAAUUUUUUUGUGCAAAAGCAAAAAUAAAAUUUAGGGACAAGAAGACCCUAUGAAUUUUUAUUAUUAAUAUUUUGCAAUUAAAUUAUUAAUAAUUUAAUUGGGGCGAUAAAAAAAGAAUAAAUAUCUUUUUAAUUGUAAAAUAAGUUCCGUUUUUAGCGAUUAAAUGAAAAAAAUACUCUAGGGAUAACAGCGUAAUAAUUUUGGAUAGUUCAUAUAGAUAAAAUAGUUUGCGACCUCGAUGUUGGAUUAGGAUUCU